CAUGCACCGGUGGGGUCCCUUGGCCAGGCUUGUGUCCUCUCACAAUCCCAGACCCCUGAGGGGAUGUUGGAGAGCCAGUUUCGGCCUGAUCCUGCAGGCCAGGCUGAGGGACCCCACUGGUGCACG
rnacentral:pre_miRNA from 1 species